CAUGCCGUAAACGAUGAUUACUAGGUGUGGGGGGUCUGACCCCUUCCGUGCCGGAGUUAACACAAUAAGUAAUCCACCUGGGGAGUACGACCGCAAGGUUGAAACUCAAAGGAAUUGACGGGGGCCCGCACAAGCAGUGGAGUAUGUGGUUUAAUUCGAAGCAACGCGAAGAACCUUACCAGGUCUUGACAUCCAACGGAUCCUGUAGAGAUACGGGAGUGCCCUUCGGGGAACGUUGAGACAGGUGG
rnacentral:rRNA from 1 species